rnacentral:rRNA from 1 species
GACGAACGCUGGCGGCGUGCUUAACACAUGCAAGUCGAACGAUGAACUUGGAGCUUGCUCUGGGGGAUUAGUGGCGAACGGGUGAGUAACACGUGAGUAACCUGCCCUGGACUCUGGGAUAACUUCGAGAAAUCGGAGCUAAUACCGGAUAGGACCUUGCACCGCAUGGUGUGGGGUGGAAAGUUUUUCGGUUUGGGAUGGACUCGCGGCCUAGCAGCUUGUUGGUGAGGUGAUGGCUCACCAAGGCGUCGACGGGUAGCCGGCCUGAGAGGGUGACCGGCCCAGAUGGGACGAAGACACGGCCCAGACUCCUACGGGAGGCAGGAGUGGGGAAUAUUGCACAAUGGGCGCAAGCCUGAUGCAGCAACGCCGCGUGCGGGAUGACGGCCUUCGGGUUGUAAACCGCUUUUAGUAGGGAAGAAGCCUUCGGGUGACGGUACCUGCAGAAAAAGGACCGGCUAACUACGUGCCAGCCGCCGCAGUAACAC